rnacentral:rRNA from 1 species
AGUUUGAUCCUGGCUCAGAUUGAACGCUGGCGGCAUGCUUUACACAUGCAAGUCGAACGGCAGCGGGGGCUUCGGCCUGCCGGCGAGUGGCGAACGGGUGAGUAAUACAUCGGAACGUGUCCUUAAGUGGGGAAUAACGCAUCGAAAGAUGUGCUAAUACCGCAUAUCUCUCAGGAGGAAAGCAGGGGAUCGAAAGACCUUGCGCUAAAGGAGCGGCUGAUGUCUGAUUAGCUAGUUGGUGGGGUAAAGGCUUACCAAGGCAACGAUCAGUAGCUGGUCUGAGAGGACGACCAGCCACACUGGGACUGAGACACGGCCCAGACUCCUACGGGAGGCAGCAGUGGGGAAUUUUGGACAAUGGGCGAAAGCCUGAUCCAGCCAUGCCGCGUGAGUGAAGAAGGCCUUCGGGUUGUAAAGCUCUUUUAGUCGGAAAGAAAGAGUCAUAGUAAAUAGCUAUGAUUUAUGACGGUACCGACAGAAAAAGCACCGGCUAACUACGUGCCAGCAGCCGCGGUAAUACGUAGGGUGCGAGCGUUAAUCGGAAUUACUGGGCGUAAAGGGUGCGCAGGCGGCCUUGUAAGUCAGAUGUGAAAGCCCCGGGCUUAACCUGGGAAUUGCGUUUGAAACUACAAAGCUAGAGUGCAGCAGAGGGGAGUGGAAUUCCAUGUGUAGCAGUGAAAUGCGUAGAGAUGUGGAAGAACACCGAUGGCGAAGGCAGCUCCCUGGGUUGACACUGACGCUCAUGCACGA